rnacentral:rRNA from 1 species
GUAGGGAAUAUUGGACAAUGGGCGAAAGCCUGAUCCAGCCAUGCCGCGUGAUAGAUGAAGGCCCUCUGGGUUGUAAAUAUCUUUUAUCUGGGAAGAAACUCCUCUAUUCUUAGAGGCCUGACGGUACCAGAGGAAUAAGCACCGGCUAACUCCGUGCCAGCAGCCGCGGUAAUACGGAGGGUGCAAGCGUUAUCCGGAUUCACUGGGUUUAAAGGGUGCAUAGGCGGGUUGAUAAGUCAGUGGUGAAAGCUCCGGGCUUAACUUGGAAACUGCCAUUGAUACUGUCAGUCUUGAAUGUCGUAGAGGUAAGCGGAAUGUUGCAUGUAGCGGUGAAAUGCUUAGAUAUGUUACAGAACACCAAUUGCGAAGGCAGCUUACUAUGCGAUAAUUGACGCUGAGGCACGAAAGCGUGGGGAGCAAACAGGAUUAGAAACCCGUGUAGUCC